rnacentral:rRNA from 1 species
UACGAGUGCCCCAAGCGUUAUCCGGAAUCAUUGGGCGUAAAGGGUGUGUAGGUGGUUGUGUUAGUCUUCUGUUAAAUUCUUCGGCUUAACCGGGGGCAUGCAGGGGAAACGGCACAACUAGAGGAUGCGAGAGGUGAAUGGAACUCAUGGAGUAGGGGUGAAAUCCGUUGAUAUCAUGGGGAACACCGAAUGCGAAGGCAAUUCACUGGCGCACUCCUGACACUGAGACACGAAAGCGUAGGUAGCGAAUGGG